rnacentral:lncRNA from 1 species
AGAAUAGAAAUCCAUUCCCACCCACAUUUCAGCCACACUGACGCAAAACCACAGGCAAAUGGUUUUGGUAUUGUGAUGUUCAGCCUUUUUCACAUCCUGGAUGUGGUUUAACAUCCCAAAGUUGGCUGUAGUAGGAAGCAUACGUUAAGCCAGAUUUUUCCUCAGAAUGUGCAACUCUCCUCGUGACUUAUCUCCCCACAUUUCAGUUCAUCUAACUUAUGAAUACAACAAGCACUGCACUAAUUUGGACAUUGUACCAUCAUACAGUGUUCACAAAUGAUUAUAGAGCAAUUCUGUUUUCAGCAUUGAUGGAACGGAUAAGCAGUCAGAAAGAAUAAAGUAGAGUCCUGCUGGUGUGAGCUGAAGAUCACUGAAGUCAAUAUUCUCACAUAACAGUUAAAUGCUAGGUAAGGUAGGAGUGUGUACAGUCUGGAGUUUUUUUUUUAGCUUUACUCUCCUUCUGGGUGAAAUAGCACCAUAGAUCAGAAGGGCAAAUUACAGGAUGGAUGCCCUUCAUGGCUUAUUUCUCUGACAACAAGCUUUACUAUAUGUGGCCUCCUCCAACUCAGUGAGAAGUUUUCUAAUGUUUGUCUGCCUAUUAUUGCUAUUUACUAGUUGUAAUUGUCAUCUGAAAUGAUGAGUAUUUACUGUUCUCAGUUAUUUGCUGCUUCACUGAAAACAGAACAGUCAUUGGAGUCAUUAAGGGCUUCUUCAUCAAUCCAUUAAAUAAUAAAAAGAAUCAGAGCCCGAAUAUAAAAGAUGAGAUUUUGCUGACCUGAUUGUCAGCUGGAAAUGCGAGCAAAUCAUACCCACUGGACAUCAUAGUCAUGCUAACAAAAGGUUUUCAGGCACAUGCAAAAAUGUAGAUAGCCAAAUGUUCUUAUGUUGUGUCUCUGGAGGAAUAUUGCAGCUGGGCUUGGACAAGAGUCUUCUACUGAUUUAUACUGCAUGUCCUUUAUGGAUGGUUGCUCGCAUACGUACAGUGUCAAUAAUUUUAGUGUAGACAAUCCCAUUCAGUAUUUUCUCCCUGUUAAUGCGUUUCCUUCCAGCUGAAAUACUUCAGCUUCUUGGAUCAAAAUUGUCUUUCAAAUUAAAUAGCUGACUUCAUUCCCCCCCCCCCCCCAAACAUUUCUAAUGGUGCGGAAUGGGCACGGUGGGAAGAGGCUAUAGAGGGAAGAAGAAGUUAGGCAGGGAGCGUCAGUGGGUGACCUCCUUGGAUGGCAGCUUCACCACAAGGAGCUCCAGGACAGCCUUUUCUUUGUCUCUACAGAGCAGAAGCAAAGCAACAAACUCCCUCUUUUUUUUUUUUUUUUCUUUUUUCUUUCUUUUCCUGAGGACGAAUCACUUCCAAGUACAUCUGGUUGAGCAUGAAGAAUGAGAAUAUGAAUACAGGCAAUUAUGAUGGAGUAGAGGCCUUGUAAAUUUAUACUCAAGCUUACCCCCUGGUAACUCAUUCAUCUGCGUGUCUUGACAGGAUGCAUGUGAAAUAGUGGGACAAUAAAAGCUGUUGUAAUGCUGAAAGAUGCUAAUAGCUGGCCUCAGGGUGAGCUGGGUUUUCAAGACAAUCACAGAUAAUACAGAUAACACAGUGGAAGCAUUAGACUCAAGAGAAUGAGCUCUCAAGCCUUUAUUCUGUAAAAUAGAGAGACAUAGGCUAUCUCAAAGGAGGGAUGUCCUAGAGGUGUAGAUUUUACAGGAUCUUAUUUUUAUGGAGCAGUACUUUGCAGAACUAUGGGCUAUCUGAAUCUGCUUGCACUUAUGGAAAUGCACAGCAAACAAAGCCAUAGACAAUUGUUCCUUAACAGGAGUAGGUCUGAAGGUGUUGGAAUUGACCCCUUUGACAGGGUGGCGCCCAGCCUGUCUGCCACCCAGCCUGUCUGCCACAUUGAGAACAAAAAGAAAAGCUUAACAAGGAAAUAUGCUCUGUAACUACUUUGGCAGCCUUUGAAUAGUUAGAGAUAUUUCAGGAAAAAAAAAAAUCCUCUAAAAAUUCAGUAUUUUGGAAAUACAGAUCUGUCCCAAGGAACUGCUCGACAAUGAAACUCCUUUUCUGUCUUCCUUCCAUCUCUUCUCUAUAUCUCACAGGGAAGACAGUGUUGUAAUCAGAGGACUAACUGGGAGUAAAUGUUUAUAAGGCUGUGGAUGUUUUUGGAUAUGCCCAUAAUCUGAGUUUUGAUCAGCUUGGUUCUGUGUGAAUGUGGACUCCUUUCCAAGGUGAUGCUUUUGUGAGAAAGCUUAGGAACAGACAACUAGAAUGAAUUCACUCCCAGGUGCUGAGGCAAAUCCGCAAAAAUGUUUUGGAUUUUGAGGGUAUUUCAUUUAAUCUAAACGUGCAGCAGUGUUGAAAGAAGGUUUGUUUCCCAUCCCUCUGUAUGCUGCAAGCUAAAAAAGCCCUUUCCAGACCUUACACCACAGCUGUAACGCAUAAUGACCUCAACAGUUCUCUGCCUGAGGAAGAACAAAAGGACAUCCUAAGGGAAAACGCACAGAUGAUCCUACGAAGUACUUGCACUGCAAUUUAGACACAGGACUAGAGGCAGAAUGCUGGGUGAGCAAGCAAGAAUCCUGGACUUCCUAAGGUAGUGCUGUUUCUUGUAGCCGAGACCCACCAAUGUGAUGGGGCAAACUGGUAGCACUUAACAUAUCACAACCUUUGCAGGGAAAAAUGAAGUGCCAGUCCCGAAUGCUGCACAAGUGACUAUGGAUGUAGAAUGGUGCACGUUUUGUUCUGGGCAUCCUUAUUGUGAGUAUACACAUUUAUUUAUUAUAGCUUUUAAGUUCUUGCCCUUCUCAACAGGUAUCUUAGAUCAAGCCACCUAAAAUCAUGCUGAAACCAAAUGUAACUUUAUGAUUAAUACCUACAAAAACUCAGAGUGACAUGGUAAUAUAACCAUAAAGGUUUGGGUUCCUUCAGGGAAAUCCAGUUGCACUCACUUUGUUGUCAGAAUAAUGAGGUCUCAAUUUUCGCUGUCAUGGAGUUAAUGCAUUUGAUGCAGGUAGAAUGAUUAUUGAGUCAUGGUGACUUUGGAAGGAGACUACAAGUGAAACUUUUCAAAGAUGGCUGGUUCCUGGAUACGCAGAUGACACAUCAUUAUAAACUAAGUGUCUGUAAAACGCUGGCACUCUGUAAUCCCAUGUUAUGCUUGAAGAAUAGCAAACCAUUCCAUGGCAAAGCCCUAAACCCAGUCCUUUGUAAUUACUCUGAAUGGAACAUGCAAUUUUCUGUAGCAUAGGUUAAGAAAACAGUUCAGUGUGUAUAUUCUUUGAAUUGUUGAUCCCUUGAAUUGUCGAUCCCUUGGGGCUGAUAAGUACAUAAUUAGUGACAUUAACUCAAGCAUUUGUGCUCUGUGUUCUUAGUGAUUCUGGCUUCAGUUUUCAUUGUAUCUCUUGAAUAUGGACAGAUGCAAAUACUAUUUGUAAUGAAACACCAGAAAUAUUUUAGCCAGUGUAAUGGUUAGCCCACAAUGGGCUCUGGUCUCCUUAUCAUUUAAGUUUUUGUCCUUAUUGAGGGUAUUGCAUCACCGUGCCAGAUACAUAGGACUGGCUGAUUUCUGAUGGUGAGUUGCUGGGACUGAAUUGCUCUGAAGGAGAAUGCAUUCAUUUCUGGGCAAACAAUGACAGAACUGGAGAAAUUUAAGUAUACUGAGUGUUGAAGUUUCAGAUAAGGUGAAGAAUUUGUACUUCAGGAAAUUCACUCAAUGUUCCUUGUGCUUCAGCUCACCCAGAGGGAAACUUAAGCAAAAAGUAGCAGUCACACUGAGAAACAGAUGUCCUUCACUUGCCCUGCUCUAAAAGCUGGCAACAAACUCAGAAUGAUGCGUGAGAGAAUCUAAUGGGUGGUGGACAAUUGCUUUCAAGAUGGUUGAGUGCACAGUGUCUCUAUGGCGCUCAGUUCCAGGCGGUCUCUUCCUACCACCGAGCAAAGUGAGCGUUAGUGCUGCCAUGUUCUGCUAUCCGAGGAAGGAGGCACUAAAGUGCUAUAACAUUCACCCCCCUCUCAAAUAACAAACAUGAGAUGCACGAGAUGCAAAAGCAGUGAGUUCAAAUCGGAUUGCUGAACUUGCAGCAACUUGCCCUGUGCUUGUGUGCUUGUAUCUCCUCAUACAAGCUGAAGGACGGCAGACCCCUUUGGCAAAACUGGAGGUUGUUUCGUUUAUUCCCACUCUGACCACCACUUCCUUCUUCCAUCACUACUUCUUGGUGGCUCUGAAGUAAUUAGGACUGGAUGUAGGAAAGAGGUAUGUGUUGGGCACAGGGAGAUUUGUGGCAGGAACUGCAGAAGGAAGGGAGAAAGGAAGAAUGAGUAUGGAACCCACUGAGGAAAGACUGACACACAUCAAGAGGCUGCAGAAUUUAAUCUCACAUCAUUUCAGGUGACUACUGAAAGAGAUUUGAAAUGAACUGAAAACUGGUGAUGUCUGGCAGGAACAGGCUGCCCAGGGAUGUGGUGGGGUCACCGUCCCCAGUGGUGUUCCAGAACCAUGGGGAUGUGGCACUGAGGGACAUGGUCAGUGGGCAUGGUAGGGGUGGGUCAGUGAUGGGACUUGGGGAUCUUAGUGGUCUUUUCCAACCUUAAUGAUGCUGUGAUGCUACUACAGAUGUCUUUGACUGUGUGAGGCACCUACACUCUUGUCAGAGUAAUCCGACUGCUCACGUGGCCUGAUUCAGUUUUCUACUUUCAAAUGAGAUGAAUCAUAGUCUAGAAACAUCCCUUUCUCUCCACUGUAGUCAGUGUCUAGUGCAGAUGAAGUUGUCUGAAUUGUAGCUAUCUGUGUCCGGUGAGCUGAAUCUGGCCCCAUAUGAAUGAGAGUAUGUGUAUCUGUGCAAAUCCCAGCUCGAGCAUUUGAGCAUUGCUUCCUCUUUCAGCACAACCUGCCUGUAUAGCCAUUUCUACACUCCCAGCAGACUAAUUAUUACAAAAAUUCUCUGUCAUUGCUUUGCAACGGACCAUAGCUUAACUAAUUUAAAAAUGCAAAUGAAUGCUAAAUUGCACUUGAAUCUGAACUGUCUCCUUCUCCCUCUCUUUUUAUUUGUGCUGCUCUGGGAAAAGGGAGGUAGAGCAGACAUUAAAUGCUGAUGGUGGAAAUCAAUCUUUCAAAUUUGAAGUAAUUUUGAAUUUGCUCCUGCUGCCAGGAAUAGUGACAUCAUCAGAGGUGCUCGAUUGAUCUGUGAUUUGAGGAGAAACUGCUUGGACUUGAUCCUCCCUUUGUCCUUCCACAGAGAAACAAAUGCUGCGGUGUUCAGCUCUUUCACUGGCAGCUGUCAUACUGAAGAGAACUCACAUGUUAGGAAGAGGUGUUCAGGAAGAAUGUAAGCAAAUGCAUGAACUGAAACACAGCCCGUUCUAUUGCCUCUGUCCUAAGGUGUCAAGUUAGGGCUCAGUUUUGUAAUCAUAGUUAUGUAUCUGAGGGGGACACAAACAACAUCUAGCACAACCAUUUGUGGUCUUCAGCUGCAGGAUGACAUAGCUAACAGUAAUAACCAUUCAUGGGCAGUCUUGUUGCCUUCCUAAAGCCAGCACUGCACUGCAACAUCAGCACUGAGAUAAAAUGCUCAGGAAUGGGACUCCUGGGGAUUUAGAGAGCAACUGAUGGACUCCAGGUUAGAUCCUGGGACUGCUUCCCUGCAUGGACAGCAUGGAGCAUGUGAGCGUGGCAAUCCAAACUGCUUAGCACUAUCUUAAUCACAGAUUGUCAUGUAGUAUUGGUGAGUUAGGUACCCAAGGGAGAAGACCUGAACCACAACUCCUUUGUGUUUCAGGGCCGGGGAUAAUACACCUUCUUAUAGGUUCAUCUUCAGCUCAUGUAUUGCUGACAUCUUGCUGAGAGAAACAUAGCAAAUAGCAAGAAUCAUCCCAGAGGGCAUCUGUUGGCAGCUGUAUACACAGGACUACGUUGGUGUUCACAAAGCAUUUUUCCAAUUUUGCAAAUUGAUUCAGAGAUGAAAUUUCAUGAGUGUUUGUUGACACUCGCAUAUAGCAGAUGGAUUUGUAAAUGGGCUCUGCAAAGAUGAUUGAAAAACAACCCCCCAUCCCCGCUGCAUCCAUUGGUCUUGUACAAUCCCAUGGCGUUCUCUGGGCUGACAUGUGACAGGAGGUAAGCAUGGCUCUUUGGAGCUGUGAGCCUCCCUGUCCCCCUAAAGCAGAUGCUCCCCUGUCAGAUCCCAGCCCAGCACAGUGCUGGGACCAGAUUUCUGGUUUUCAAUUAAGAUUCAAACAUCACAAUGAUAGAGUCCUCCUAAUCCUUCUACAAAGGUGUGUGCGGUUAAUCAAACUGCAAUGCCGUGGGCUCCGGGUGGCUUUGUUUAACAUCAGCUUAGUCAUAAAUCUCUGGGGGAUAUGUUCACCUGCUUGGCAUGUGCAAUGUGCUUGCAGCGCUCGCAGAGGGACAAGGCUGCUCCUGGUUGGGUUGUAGGGCAGGUGCACCAGCUGUGCUGCCUAACAUAGCCUUUUAAUAGCUGCUGGGAGGAAGAGGAGCCCUUGGCCUUCCUUUUGUGCAGAUGAACAUAUGUCCAUCAGGGAGAUGGGGAGUUGGGGAGUGAUUUAUUAAAAACUAGGAUUUGUCAAGCAACAGGCUGAGGAAAAACGAUCACAUUUUUGUAAGCUAGCCAGUUUUAAGAUCCUUUAGUAUGUCUCCAUUGAAGCCUUCAGGAGUAUUGUGGUGAUUAGGUCCGAGAGAACACAGUGAAGGUUUGGCCAUGGGAAUUUUCCCACUUUCCCAGAACUUGUGCCCCAGUGGAAAGUGACAGAGGAAUGGUUAUCAAGGCUAGAGAAGUCCCCCCGGCCAGUUAUGCUUGUCCUGCUACAGGUUUGCAUUAUCAGAGAUGCUUUCCUAGAACCCUUUAUAGACGGAGAGGGCAGUGUUAAUUUUGGAUGCAUAUGCAAGGCCAAAUCCUGGUUUGGUGAUACCAAUGUAAAGCUGAAAUUAAUUAUUAUUUUCAAUUAAAGCAAGCUCUAGGCAGUAAUAAUGGGAGCAAAAACGAACGUAAGGUUCACUUAUGGAUGAAGGGAAAAAUGCAUCCUUGCAGUAUGAGAAAGAAAAACCUGAUAUCCUACCCCAAUCCCUCUGUGUAUGGUUUGGCUGUGUGUUUGCACUCAUCUGUCUCUAUGAGUCACAAUAACUCCUCACCACAUGCACAGCUCCGGUAUGGAUGUGGAUGGUAAUAACCCAUCAGCAUGCACUGAAUCUAUCACUUAAGCAUAAGAGCUUAACUCCCUUAUGCCUCAGAGUGUGUUUCAGGGGGUAAGACUGAAAUGAAAUCCCCUCUGUGUCCCUGUGUCAGAAUAUAUACACACACACACACACAUAUAUAUAUAUAUGUGUAUAUAUAUAAGUGUUUCUGUGUUCUCAUAUUACCUCAGAGUGUUUCUUGUGUGAUUCAGGGCUAGUAGGCACAAAAGCAGUAUUGAAGAUUAAUUUCAUUUAAUUCUGGCAAUAAAGAGCAUUGCAGGCACAAGAGGUUUGCCAUCAAUGUUGGAGGGCAUUAAGUAUUUGGUUUUUUUUUUAGUUGCAAGAUAAUAAUGUCCUGGUGUAAAUGUUUUAUAAUGAUCUCAUGAAUUAUUCACACUUAACUUGAUAACCUGAUGUUUUAUGGGAUAUGGUCUCUAGAGUACAAGGGGCGGGGAGGGGGAUUUUAAAAUAAAUAAAUAAGAAGAUAAGCCCCAGCUGCAACAACCAGAAAGCACUGAGACCUCUGGUUUGUUUUCUGUCUGCACUGAAGGGUGGUUUCAUUCUUGCAGUUAUAUUUUUUGUGAUGAUGAGCCACAGAAUGUGAGCGAGUGAGUGAGGUUAUUUUCUAUAUAUGCUAAAGGAAAAGAGAAAGGAAUCAACCACCCUUCACUGUUUGUUUAAUCUGGAAGUGGUGUUUGAACACUUCACCUAUUGUUAUGGAGCUCAGGGGUUCUGUUAUUGUUGAUAACAUUCCCAUUUGUUGAAGCAUUAGCACAAACUGAUGCGGAUUUUCCUUUAUGCAUACUUCUGUGCCUUUUCCCUCCUUCCCAUUCCCUUCUCUUCAUCUCCCAUUCUUUCAUCCUUACUCUCAUUCUCUUUCUUUAUUCCUUUUCCUUUUUUUCCUAUUUUCUUUUCAGUCCUGGUUCUUCUGGGUUGUUUUUUCCUCCUUUUUCUCCGUGCCUUUUUCAUUUCUUUUCAUCUUUCAGCAUUUUCUUCUGUCUACAAUUUUCUCUUUGUUUUCUCUAUUGCUAACAGGGUUUUAAUAUUUGCUGAAGCCCACGGGCCUUAACCUAAAUAAGCUGCAGAAAGAGUCAGACCCAGAGAAGAGUUGCUGUGAUUUAAUUAAACUUGGUGACAGCUUCUGGAAGAAAAGUGCUGAAGCUGACACUCAGACAUCCAAUCUGAAUGUCUAUCAGCCCUUGAUAUCCCAGAUGCACUAGAAACAAAUGCAGUAACUUCAUUGACAUACCCUAGAGAUAAAUGGCAGAACAUACACAGCAAAGAUAUAGAGAAGAGUUCAUAGUGACAAUGCAAGCGAUGUCUCUUCUAUGGAGAACAAAAGCCUAUUGCAGACUUCAAGUUCUUCUCUCUGUGGGCAGAGGAGGGGGAGCAAUACUGCAUUUGGGAUGGCUAGCCUGAGUCACCCGAGCGACGUGGCACCCAGGUGCUUGCAGUAUUGAGGUUUAUCGCACAGGUGUUUCAGCGAAGAGGUUUCAUCAGUCAGGGAUACGUGUGUUUUUUUCAAAGGAACUCCGGGGGGGUCUCGGUGUGCUUUUAAAUUUUGAAGAGGAAAUUUGGAGAGCAAUUUGGAGAGUGGCUGGUGAGACGUGAGCCAUCGUAGGCAGAUGGAUUCAUAGGCAGGACUUUUUAUAGAAUGACUUUGAAAGAAUGGUCCAACCAACUUGCUUCAUGCAUUUAUUUAAAUCUAUGCUACAAAGUGAAGAGCAGAAGAAAGCUAAAAUUUGCAUGGCUUGUUUUUCUUCUUUUUCCCAACCUUAUUUUAUUUAUUAAAUCACUCUGAAUUAUGCCUUCCAAAGGACACUUUUCCCCUUGUUGUUUAUUAUACCUUCAUCAGCCUUGAAAUGGGAGCUGCAGGCAGCUUGAUAAAUGGAUUGAAAAGCUGCUUCUGCCAGCAUCAAACAAACAAAACCCCAAUAUCCAUAAAACCUUCUGUUUUAGAAACGCUAAAACAAGCACUAUUUCCCUCUGAGCUGCGCUAAAGAAUGAUGUGCCCGUAUCCCUCACUGUUUAUAGGGUAUUUUCAUCCAGUUGUGCCCAGAGCAGAAGUUCAUUACUGCAUCGUGGCCAGGACUCAGCCUGCAGCAGUGGGAGCAGGGGCAGCUGGCUAUGAUGGGAGAGAGCGAGACAGUGCUAGGAAGGCUGAGCAAAUAUUGACUUAGACUCUGAAAUGCAUGGGGCAAAUCAGCCAAGAUGUCUGAAGUUGGGUCCUGCUUCCACCAUGUUCGACCAUUGGAUUGGCCUGGUAACAAACCAGGACUUCAUCUACUGUGGUGUGUUGGUAAAGGUAAGCGGUCCAGUCCUAUGUGUGAAGGUACAAAAUGUUAACAGGUAAAUGAAGUGGUAAUGGACCAUCAGUUGCAAAGCACUCAAAAAGCAAGGUGAAGGCAUGUUUCACUGUCUUUAGUAAAUAGCAGUGAUGUUGCAACAAAGGAUAAGGGGGAAAAAGCCAAACGAAACAGAGAAAUGGGAUGUGAGGUUUGCCUUGGCCCAAGCUCACUGGUGUGUAACUUGCCCAUAUAGAUCUUGUUGAACACAGGGUACCCUACUCUCCUAACACAGUGUCCAGUAUGCAGCAAGAGGGCACACCAAAGGGAUGACUCAUAGAUAUCUGAUAUGGAAAUGGAUGCUGUCAAGGCACCAAUCAUGUCUCUGUUCCUACCCAUUGCUUGCUUGACUUCUGACUGUGUCAUAACACGGCUGCAAAGUCUCAGGCUGCUUAGGGUUGCAUCUUCCAAGUAAUCAUUCCAGUCUGGAUUUAUCACCAAAUUAUGGAGAGCCAACAUUACGGUGUUAUUGCAGUGACCCACUCUGUCUCUCUCUCUCUCUAUUUUUUUUUCCCAUCAACUCCAAUUCCUCUUAAGGGCAUUUUAGACUUUAGAAAGUCAUUUGCUGUUCUUUGAGGUGUGAAGGAUGGACAGGCUGAGACUGCCUUUCUCUUACUGAGAAGAUGUGGCAUGUACAAGGCCAUGCAGAUGGCAAUACUGAUGGGAAUAGGAGGCAGGAGAUCAGAAAGUGCCUUGACCCCUGUGAUUCUCCAGGCAUUUGGAAUGCAUAAUUGCAGCUUGUUUAACACCAAAGGAUAACUGAUCAUUCUGAGAGGAGGAAGACACUGGUGGGGAUCGAUAUUCCUAUGGCUGUGCUAGAAAAAUAGCGAAAAAGAAUGGCUCUUUAUCUCUCACAGCAAAGCAGGAGGAAUAAAUGCCUACGACUUCUUGUGAUUGUUCUUUUCAAAGCCCACAGAGGGUUUGUUCAGUGCUGGCUGUCAUUGCAGUCGUGAGCUGCAGUGAGUGUGUAUGGAUGAUGUGCAUCCUUCCUUCCAGACGUGGGCUGACUGAAGGCAAGGCAGGAGAGCUCUGCUUCUUGUUUCAGAGAGGAAAAGUAAGUCACCAUGAAGGUGAAACAUGGAGAAAUUGGGCUGCAGACAGAUUGGUGGAAUAGCGACCGUGGGAAAUCACAACUGAGCACUCCUAUGUUCAUUUUCUGUGUGGGCCAUGUUGAUCUGCAGCUUUUGUGUAAAACUAUGAGUCACGAAGAGCUGAUUUCAGUUGGUAGAAACAAAGCUGACUUUGCAGUGGUACUCACGGGGUUCUGGAGUAAAAGCAUAGAGUCUUUUGGGUGAAAAAUACAUUUUCUCAAAGUGUUUAUCUGAAGGAGUUUGUUCUCCAUGAAGUGUUUUUUGAGCUCUUGCAUUGUCUCACAGGGUGGAAGGAGAUGACUGUAAAGUUAGGACACUGAUUUUCAGUAUAAAAACCUUAAUUGUUGACUCUGGUAAUGUGGCUCUUAAAUGAGCACGUCCGGACCUGUACUUGUGUUGGUCCUGCAUCAGUAUUCUGAUCUCUCAUCCACAACAUACAACCUGGUUGUAAUUAUGACGCCACAGUCUUUUGAAACAAAACAGGAAGACUGAGAACAGCCCUGAAACAGUGCAGUUUUCAGGUCAGCUUGGAUAGAAUGAGAGGAGUAUAAGUGCUAAGCCUGACUGGCCAGCUGUAGUGCCGUGACACAAGUCGGCUUGGACCUGAGGAGCAUCCUGGGUCUGCAUGAGCUGCUCUCAUGAGCCACACUGUGCACCCCACAUGCAGGCUUAGGAUCUGGGCUGGUAGAACUCAGGGGGCACCCCAUCGCCUCACUCCCCACACAGGUUCUUACAGCACAAGGCUGACCUCCAGUGGGCUCUUACCAGAGUAGCUGGCCUGUAAAUCCGGGGACGGUGUCUGAGAUGCUCUUUAGAGGCUGUAUGUCCAGAUGUCAGAGCAGAUAUCUGCUCCUUGCCCUUUUCAGACCCUUCUGGCCUAAAGAUGGAGCUUAGCAGCGGUCUCCUGCUGAUAAAUGGAACCAUAGCUGCACUGAGGUAGAUAAUUCUAACUGCAGUUGCACUGCAGUAGAUAAUUCCGAAAGAUGUCUUUGCAAACAGGGAGAAAAUACCUGACGUAUGUCCCUUCUCCCUGAAAAGCAAAGGGGAACUGUGGUGAGCAGAAAGCCACAGUGGUGCAGCCUUACCUGCUACAGAGUGGGAAUAUCACCCACUGCUGUAGACUCUUGCCGAUUUCCUGAGAAAACCUUGUUAUUGCAGUUCAUAAAGAUGACUGUUGUGGAGCUCGGUGGUUGUGAUGAACUUUGGCUGCAAAAUGGGUGGAUGGAAUGCCUCGCUUGAGCAAUUGGGAGAGGUCUCUGAAGAGAGCAGGAUAACAAUUGUCCCAGCUGAGCUGCUUUUCCCAGAGCCUACUUAGCAUAGUCUAAGGCCUUCAUUUGCUGUUAACUGAAGGAAUGUCUUACAAGGGCCCCCUGCUGGUUUUUAGAGAUAUGGAAUCUGUGGGUAAAUAAGUUAAUUUGUAGUUGCACAUGGGCAAAGAUAAUGAGCUGAAAAUAACAAAGGAAGAAUAAGAAGGAGGGGAAGAGAUUGCAAAGAAGCUAAUUUAUUUCACUAAAUCCCCUAAGAAAAUCAAAUAAACCAUUUUUGAGGAGCUGAGUGGCUGAGAGAUGGCUCUCGCCUGGAAAUGAUUUUUGUAUCAAUCACAGAAUCAUGAAUCUCAGUGGUUGGAAGAGAUCUCAAGAGUUCAUUGAGUCCAACCCCCCUGCUAAAGCAGGUACCCUGAAAUAGGUUGCAUAGGUAGGCGUCCAGCUGGGUCUUGUAUAUCUCCACAGGAGGAGACUUCACAACCUCCCUGAGCAGCAUGUUCCAGUGCUUCGUCACCCUGACCAUAAAGAAGUUCUUUGUUCAAGUUUUAGGCCAUUACUCCCUGUCCUAUUGUUACACACCACCCAGAAGAGCCUGGCCUCAUCCAUUUGGCUCCCACCUCCCUUUAUGUAUUUGUAAAUAUUUAUCAGAUCCCCUCUCAGUCUUUUCCCCAGGCUGAACAGUCCCAGGUUACUCAGCCUUUCUUCAUAUGGCAGGCACUCCAGGAUCUUAAUCAUCUUUGUGCCCCUCCAUUGUGCUCUUUCUAGGAGAUCUGUGUCUUUUUUGAACUGGGUAGCCCAGAACUGGACACAGUAGUCCAAAUGCCUCACCAGGACAGAGUAGAGGGGGAGGAUCACCUCCCUUGACCUGCUGGCCACACUAUCUUUAAUGCAUCUCAGGAUCCCAUUGGCCUUCUUGGCCACAAGGGCACGCUGCUGGUUCAUUGCCAACCUGUUGUCCACCGGAACCCCCAGGACCUUCUCCACAGAGCUCCUCUCCAGCAGGUCAUCCCCUAACCUGUACUGAUGCAUGUGAUUCUUCCUCCCCAGGUGCAAGUCUCUACACCUGCUCUUGAAGGAGAUAAGAGUUGGGUCAUGACUUGGAGAAAUAAGAAAAGCAAAAAGGAGGAGGAACAUGAUUUCCUUUGCAGGUGACAGCUUUGGCUGGUGCAGUUCAGUGGCAGAGCUGUGGCUUUGGGAUUAGCACAGUGUUAUCCUGUGCCUGAAUUGCCCCUGGCCUGGGAGAACCUUUGUGAUGCCUUGAGCCUCCACUGGAAAGUGCUCAGAGACAUAGAUGGUAUGAAAAACAGCACAUUCAAGCCAGAAAGAGGACAGGAAAGAGGACUGCAGAAGGGACCAGAAUACUUAACAGUCAGCAAAGCGGACACAGUCAGGUCUGCACUACUUUGGUCCAGGAGUCGGGAGGUAGAUGGUUACUGUGAAGCUCCCCACUGUGUGUUGUUGUGUGUGUCUACGUUGCAGUGCAGGAUCCUGGCACUGAUGCUGUAAUGUAAACCUGUGUUUCUAUACGUGUGGUCUGGUUUUUUUGCAGGAACAGGUAACUUGAUCUGGGCGGAAAUGUUGCAGGUCUUUGGGGAAGCUGAGUUGUGUGGUAUUAGCCAAGCUCAUUCUGUAUUCCCUCUGCCUGUAUUAUUUCCCUAGCACCAAGCCAACUAACAGAAACUGUUAGUUUGUAUGCGUUUAAAUAAACAGUAACUGUAUCUCC